AAUUACUCCCUGCGUCCCAUUUUAAGUGCACGUUUGAACGUCCGUCUUAUUUCAAAGUUUUUGUGAUUAAUACUUUUAUUUUUAUUAGAUGAUAAAACAUGAAUAAUAUUUUAAGCGUGGCCUUUUUAUUUUUUUUAUAAAUUUUUUAAAUAAGAUAUACGGUCAAAUGUUGAACUGUACUUAAU
rnacentral:pre_miRNA from 1 species